AUAGAGUAAUAACCUUUUCUAUUGCCAAUUGCCCUUGGUGAAGCCUUCGGCUUACUUCGAAACGUACGCGAAACAGUAUCACUACCGCCCAAGUAAUGUCAUGUGUCCCAUAGUUCUAUAACUGGUAUGCAGUCCAGUUCUGUGAUGUGGUGUAGCGGCCGGUAUUCAGCAGGCGCACCUUUUUAACCGUUAGUGGCGGUAGAGGCUUGAUCUCCUGUACGAAAAGCAUUGCCGGAGGGGCGAGGAAAUCGUUGAACGAAUAUUGAGGAAAAAAACUUGCACUUGAGACCGCGGAAUUUACUACAAUUAUGAUACGACACAUCUGAAAUGGGAUUGCACCGACUUUGCAGAAGAAGUAAGUCAGGGCUGCAGGGGCAAUAGAAGAAUCGUCGUGUCGUUAAAAACGUAAACGGCUGACAUUAGUGCUAUGCGUCUUUUCUGACAGAGCAGCGAUGCAUCGCACUCGUUUGCGUGUAGUUGCCGCAGCCUCGUCUGCGCCUAACCUUAACAUGCAUGAUAUUUCUCCGUGCAACAAUAGCCAGUAAGUGCAUGUAUCAUCAAGCUCAAGGAGGCGUUAUACUCGCAGUGAUACGAUAGGACCCUGCCACAAAGCAACCAAUUGUUCGUAUCAAAGAGCAUCUUCCUGCACGUGCCCGCCUCGUGGUGCCACCAAAGUUACAAGAGCAAAAGGCUUCUGUGGAAGAGUGUAGAGUGUAUAGCCGUGCUGAAAAAACCAUUUCAACAUAUAACGAAACAGAAUACGCAAAGAUAGAAGAAGAAGUUAUCUGACAGCUGCGGAAAGGAAAAGAUUAGCCCAAGGGCUUGCGAGCUAGUCACUCUUCUUAAUGCUUAAUCUGUCGGUCGGCAAGUUACCGAGACAGAUUUCAUCACGUAGAUAUUAACUGCCAUGGCGGAAUUCAUCUGCGGGCACGGAGAGCAAAUGUACGCAUACGUGCGUACGCACAUAGGACUAUAACAGUGGGUACACGGGCAGAAAUCCUAGCAACGCUAGAAGCAAGCUGACCAACUACGACAUCACUAUGUAAAAGAAGUAACAACGAGGUCGUCGUUGUACCGGUGGCAAAAGAACGAUACAAAAUAGUGUACGUUACAAUUACGAAGACUGUAACAACCAGAAUCUAGAAGAAGGACCUUUUUGAUAGUUUGUCCCGUAUCGUCAUACCUUGAUAUCGUAUGUACAGCCGCACUCGUAGUAUGGUCAUCUGGCAACGAUUUUUUCCUGAAGUGGUCAAUAUCAUCGUCAAGGAAAGAAUAAUCCGUGUGCAAACUUGUGCCUGCAUGAAAAUGAAUGCCGGAGAGGAAAUGGCGAAGCCCAAAACGACCGUUAAACGACGACUACCUGUUGCGUUGGGUAAUUGAUGUGGGCGUUUAAGCGGGAUCUGAAGACACAAUGAUGAGACGGGAAGUGAAGAUCUAAGACACAAUGGUCGCAGUGGGGCGACAGUCUCGUGAUCAAAAUGAGUAGUUCUAACGAAAUGGAUACCUAUUGGCUUGUUAUCUGAUAGCGAUUUAACAUCGAUAAAUGUCGAACGUAUUUCAAAUCUAUUCAUGCCAGCUAUUAGGGAACGCGACACCAUUAGAGGCCCUAUGCGUACCAUCGAUAGCACAGUAAAUUCAAGGAAGGCCUGUUAAAUGCGCGAGGGGCUUCGGUGUACGUUUCUUCGACUUCACGGAGAACGAAACAGUGUGAGAGUGGACCCUUUUGUUGCAGGGAAAACAAGAAGCUUAGAUUGGCCGCGGCAUCUUUGUUAGGACCGACAGAAGCAGAGGAAGUACAGCCAAUCGUCGACGAAUAGAAUAGAACACAGGGUCGUUUGUCAUCCGAGAUAGAUACAGGCGCGCAUAGCAAAGACCACUCGAGAGGGACCGUUCAUUCUACUUUAUUCAACACAUGAGGAGAUUUAAAAAUGGCGACUAUUAAGAGCAACAACUACGAUAGUAAAGACAGGAAACUGCGACGGUGAAAGGGAUUCCGGCCGUUCCGAUGCAGACGAAGAGAACAGUACACACAGGCCGGUCUCAA
rnacentral:lncRNA from 1 species